rnacentral:rRNA from 1 species
UACGGAGGGUGCAAGCGUUAUCCGGAUUCACUGGGUUUAAAGGGCGCGUAGGCGGCCUUCUAAGUCAGACGUGAAAUCCCCAGGCUUAACUUGGGAACUGCGUCUGAUACUGGGAGGCUUGAGUGCGGGAGAGGGAUGUGGAAUUCCAGGUGUAGCGGUGAAAUGCGUAGAUAUCUGGAGGAACACCGGUGGCGAAGGCGGCAUCCUGGACCGACACUGACGCUGAGGCACGAAAGCGUGGGGAGCAAACAGGG